AUUGAACGCUGGCGGCAUGCCUUACACAUGCAAGUCGAACGGUAACGGGCCUUCGGGUGCCGACGAGUGGCGAACGGGAGAGUAAUGUAUCGGAACGUACCUUCCAGUGGGGGAUAACGUAGCGAAAGUUACGCUAAUACCGCAUAUUCUGUGAGCAGGAAAGCAGGGGAUCGCAAGACCUUGCGCUGAUUGAGCGGCCGAUAUCAGAUUAGCUAGUUGGUGAGGUAAAGGCUCACCAAGGCGACGAUCUGUAGCGGGUCUGAGAGGAUGAUCCGCCACACUGGAACUGAGACACGGUCCAGACUCCUACGGGAGGCAGCAGUGGGGAAUUUUGGACAAUGGGGGCAACCCUGAUCCAGCCAUGCCGCGUGAGUGAAGAAGGCCUUCGGGUUGUAAAGCUCUUUCGGCCGGGAAGAAAUCGUAUGGGUUAAUACCCUGUGCGGAUGACGGUACCGGCAUAAGAAGCACCGGCUAACUACGUGCCAGCAGCCGCCGUAAGAC
rnacentral:rRNA from 1 species